rnacentral:rRNA from 1 species
GAUGAACGCUGGCGGCGUGCCUAAUACAUGCAAGUCGAGCGAACGGACGAGAAGCUUGCUUUUCUGAUGUUAGCGGCGGACGGGUGAGUAACACGUGGAUAACCUACCUAUAAGACUGGGAUAACCUCGGGAAACCGGAGCUAAUACCGGAUAAUAUUUUGAACCGCAUGGUUCAAAAGUGAAAGACGGUCUUGCUGUCACUUAUAGAUGGAUCCGCGCUGCAUUAGCUAGUUGGUAAGGUAACGGCUUACCAAGGCAACGAUGCAUAGCCGACCUGAGAGGGUGAUCGGCCACACUGGAACUGAGACACGGUCCAGACUCCUACGGGAGGCAGCGGUAGGGAAUCUUCCGCAAUGGGCGAAAGCCUGACGGAGCAACGCCGCGUGAGUGAUGAAGGUCUUCGGAUCGUAAAACUCUGUUAUUAGGGAAGAACAUAUGUGUAAGUAACUGUGCACAUCUUGACGGUACCUAAUCAGAAAGCCACGGCUAACUACGUGCCAGCAGCCGCGGUAAUACGUAGGUGGCAAGCGUUAUCCGGAAUUAUUGGGCGUAAAGCGCGCGUAGGCGGUUUUUUAAGUCUGAUGUGAAAGCCCACGGCUCAACCGUGGAGGGUCAUUGGAAACUGGAAAACUUGAGUGCAGAAGAGGAAAGUGGAAUUCCAUGUGUAGCGGUGAAAUGCGCAGAGAUGUGGAGGAACACCAGUGGCGAAGGCGACUUUCUGGUCUGUAACUGACGCUGAUGUGCGAAAGCGUGGGGAUCAAACAGGAUUAGAUACCCUGGUAGUCCACGCCGUAAACGAUGAGUGCUAAGUGUUAGGGGGUUUCCGCCCCUUAGUGCUGCAGCUAACGCAUUAAGCACUCCGCCUGGGGAGUACGACCGCAAGGUUGAAACUCAAAGGAAUUGACGGGGGCCCGCACAAGCGGUGGAGCAUGUGGUUUAAUUCGAAGCAACGCGAAGAACCUUACCAAAUCUUGACAUCCUUUGACAACUCUAGAGAUAGAGCCUUCCCCUUCGGGGGACAAAGUGACAGGUGGUGCAUGGUUGUCGUCAGCUCGUGUCGUGAGAUGUUGGGUUAAGUCCCGCAACGAGCGCAACCCUUAAGCUUAGUUGCCAUCAUUAAGUUGGGCACUCUAAGUUGACUGCCGGUGACAAACCGGAGGAAGGUGGGGAUGACGUCAAAUCAUCAUGCCCCUUAUGAUUUGGGCUACACACGUGCUACAAUGGACAAUACAAAGGGCAGCGAAACCGCGAGGUCAAGCAAAUCCCAUAAAGUUGUUCUCAGUUCGGAUUGUAGUCUGCAACUCGACUACAUGAAGCUGGAAUCGCUAGUAAUCGUAGAUCAGCAUGCUACGGUGAAUACGUUCCCGGGUCU